rnacentral:rRNA from 1 species
UACGAGGGAUGCAAACGUUAUCCGGAAUUAUUGGGCGUAAAGCGUUUGUAGGCGGGCGAGUGUGUUUAAUGUUAAAUCUUAAAGCUCAACUUUGAAAUUGCGUUAAAAACUGCUUGUCUUGAGUAUGGUAGGGGUAAAGGGAAUUCCCAGUGUAGCGGUGAAAUGCGUAAAUAUUGGGAAGAACACUAAACAGCGAAGGCACUUUACUAGGCUAAUACUGACGCUGAGAAACGAAAGGUAAGGUAGCGAAACGGAUUAGAUACCCGUGUAGUCUUACCCGUAAACUAUGGACACUAAACGGUAAAUUUUUAAUUUACUGUUAAAGCUAACGCGUUAAGUGUCCCGCCUGGGGAGUAUGCUUGCAAAAGUGAAACUCAAAGGAAUUGACGGGGGCCCGCACAAGCGGUGGAGCAUGUGGUUUAAUUCGACGGUACACGAAGAACCUUACCAGGAUUUGACAUGCUAGAUAGUUGCUUGAAAGAGUAACGUGCCGUAAGGAAUCUAGACACAGGUGGUGCAUGGCUGUCGUCAGUUCGUGUUGUGAAAUGUUGGGUUAAGUCCCGCAACGAACGCAACCCUUGUCUUUAGUUAUUUUCUAAAGAGACUGCCUGUAAUAAACAGGAGGAAGGUAAGGAUGAGGUCAAGUCAUCAUGCCCCUUAUGUCCUGGGCUACACACGUGCUACAAUGGGAAAGACAAUGAGCUGCAAAUCUGUAAAUUUAAGCAAAUCUCUUAAACUUUCUCGUAGUUCGGAUUGUGGGCUGCAACUCGCCCACAUGAAGUUGGAAUCGCUAGUAAUCGCCAGUCAGCUAUAUGGCGGUGAAUCCGUUCCCGGGCCU